GAUGAACGCUAGCUACAGGCUUAACACAUGCAAGUCGAGGGGAAACGACAUCGAAAGCUUGCUUUUGAUGGGCGUCGACCGGCGCACGGGUGAGUAACGCGUAUCCAACCUGCCCAUCACUUGGGGAUAACCUUGCGAAAGUAAGACUAAUACACAAUGAUAUCUCUAGAAGACAUCUGAAAGAGAUUAAAGAUUUAUCGGUGAUGGAUGGGGAUGCGUCUGAUUAGCUUGUUGGCGGGGUAACGGCCCACCAAGGCAACGAUCAGUAGGGGUUCUGAGAGGAAGGUCCCCCACAUUGGAACUGAGACACGGUCCAAACUCCUACGGGAGGCAGCAGUGAGGAAUAUUGGUCAAUGGGCGAGAGCCUGAACCAGCCAAGUAGCGUGCAGGAAGACGGCCCUAUGGGUUGUAAACUGCUUUUAUAAGGGAAUAAAGUGAGAGUCGUGACUCUUUUUGUAUGUACCUUAUGAAUAAGGACCGGCUAAUUCCGUG
rnacentral:rRNA from 1 species